rnacentral:rRNA from 1 species
AGAUUGAACGCUGGCGGCAUGCCUAACACAUGCAAGUCGAACGGGAGUAGCAAUACUCUAGUGGCGGACGGGUGAGGAAUACGUAGGAAUUUGCCCUUAAGUGGGGGAUAACCCGGGGAAACCCGGAUUAAUACCGCAUGACCUCGAAAGAGCAAAGUGGGGGAUCGCAAGACCUCACGCUUUUGGAGAAGCCUACGUCGGAUUAGCUAGUUGGUGAGGUAAUGGCUCACCAAGGCGACGAUCCGUAACUGGUCUGAGAGGAUGAUCAGUCACACCGGAACUGAGACACGGUCCGGACUCCGUACGGGAGCAGCGAGGUGGGAAUUAGUGGAACAAGUGGGCGACGAAGCCUAGACUCCAGCAAGUCGCCGCGUUGUGUAGAAGACGGUCCGUUGGUUAGUAA